rnacentral:lncRNA from 12 species
AUUGAACUGGAACUCCUUUGUGUGGUGGUGGGGUUGGGGGGUAAGGGGAGAGAAAGGAGUGAAUGAAUGGAUGAGCCACUAUGGCUACUAAAGAAGGACCAGCAGGGCCAAUACUCCAUCAGAGCAAUUUAAAAAAAAAAAAAAAGAGAGAAAAGAAAGGAAGAAAGGAAGAAAGGAAGGGAGAGAGAGGGAGAGAGAGAGAGAGAGAGAGAGAGAGAGAGAGAGAGAGAGAGAGAGAGAGAAAGGGAGGAAGGGAGGAAGGGAGGAAAGGAUUUAUGAUCUGAUCUUGGUUUCCAGUUUGACCCCUAAUAUGUGAAUGGGGGUUGUGUGACCCUAUCAUCAGUUUCCAUAACUCUUUAACUCACUGUUUUGUGGAUCCUCCCAAUUCUGAUUUUUGAGUCUUUGAUUGCAUGUGCCUCUUUCUCUCUGAAAACCAGGGUAUUAGAAACCAUUCCCUACCAAGAGCUCCAGCUCUUCUAUUUGGCCACAUUCAUCACCAGCCAGCUGCUAGCAAUCCUCACCUGAAAGAUCUCAUACUUCUCUCACUUGGCAGGAGGAGGAGACAGCCAUCUCUGAGAGAGCAGAUUGAAAACAACUGGACAAAUAAUCCAGUGAGUUUUAAACAAUCUAAAUCUAAACAGCAAUUAUGGAUGGAAGGAGUAGUCCAGGGAAAACCCAACAAAGGGAACCUGAAGUAGAGAAGGAACUGCAACAGGAACCAACAUUUAGAGCAUACUGAAUCUAUUCUGCUUCUAUUCAACUAAAUGGAACAUUCCAAGGAUUCAAUGGAUGGGACCUUUCUUCUCAGUCAUCCCCAUGAUAACAGCAUAAAGUCACUGAGGUGGGAACACAGCUAAGGGCCCAGUCCCCCAGCCAGAUGGCAACACAGCCUUUACAUUUUGACUCCUAACCUUAACUUCUGGUCCCAAGAUGACCCUUUCCAUGUGCUGUCCUCUUCUCCCACCUCCCUUCUGACUUCGCAAUCACCAUGAACUCCCAAAUCAGUAUGCAGGCACCAGCACAUGAGGUACCAAUGCUGCCUCCUCAGGCGGCAUUCUAAAAAGCAGUGGGGAAAAAUAUUUUUUUCAACAUAUGAUUUAAAGAAAUCAUAACUCUGAGAUUUUGGGGGGGAAGGAAUGUCUGUAUGUGUGAUUGUAUGUAUCUAUUUGCAUGUAUGCAUGUGUAUGUGUCCUCUGGUGCCUUAAAUUUCUGUUCUAACAGAUCUCAGGAUUCAUUUAGCAGAUGGUCUGCCAAGAGCCUGAUAGAACCUAACCUCCCACGUUAAAUGUUUAUGGAACUGCUGAUCAGAGGUGGCAGUGGAGUAAUGGGGAGAACUCAGAAAAUCCCAGGAAACAAUCAAGCCCUUUUUAUUUAGAAUAUCAAUUGGAACAUUUAUUUGUAGCACUUUAUAGCUUAUGAAAUGCCUUCAUACCCACCAUGGCAUUUGAUCUUCUCAACCACCCUUCAGUGUAUAUAUUUAUUUCAAUUCCAUACAUAAAGCAAAUGAGACUCAGGAGGAAGGAUGGGUCCAAGGCCACAGUUACUAAGUGGGAAAGAGAAGGUCUCCCCAUCUCAUGACCCUCAACUUCAAAUUUCAUGUCCUCUUCCAUCUACCACACUGCCUAUUCCUGUCUUCCCAAGAGGCACAAUGAGAAUAAUGAAAUGGACACACAAUCAUCUUAUAUAGGACUCAUUAUCCUCCAAAGCUUUCAAUACCCACUUUAAAAAAAUUAGAAUUAGAUGGUGUUCUUCCCAUAUAACAAUAUUUUUUACCCUCCUAAACUGAUUUUUAAAUACCAAGGACACCUAUCAUAGAACAAAUCCAUAGAGGCAGAACAGUACAUGAGAACAGGCUCAUUUGUCAAACAUUUUGGGAAGGCCAUCUCUCCUCCACCAGGGUACAGCAGGAAGUUAACUAUUUGUGGAUGAGAAACUCUAAGACAACUCUUCUGCCAACAUGUGAAACUUUACCUGACACUGUGCAUGUGAGUGGUAACAAGGAGACGUAGUAUGUAGGGUGUUUUAUUAAGUUUAUAGCUGUCUGUGAACUAUAGCUGUAUAAUUCUUCUCAAUCCAUGUAAUGAAAGGAGGGAGAAGACAGGAACCUCUGAAUCAGAGGGCCCAGGAAAUGUAGUAACCAUUCUGAGAAAGGAGAAUCUAUAAAAGAAUCAUACACUCCAUAGACCCAGAUGGGAAUCAGACUUACCAGGAUCCUACAAGAUGGUAGCAACCUGAAGGGAAGGGCUGGCUUUGAAAACUCUGGGAGACCCAACAAAUCUCAAUGCUAAUGAGGUCUAAUGAAGUAAUAGUAUAUUGAAGCAGAACAUCUGGUUAUCAGGACUUAAUAGAUAUGGUACUGGGAGGGAGAUGUUGAGGAGUCUUCAAAGGUGGAGAAAGGGCUGAGGGAAGUAGGAAUCAAUAUGACUGGAUGAUCUAUAUGAUCCAAGAUAGAAUUGGACAUCCACAAGAGUUCCUACUGUGUAGCUGAGUCAUGCAGUACAGCUAUAUUAGUACCCACGAGAACAUAUACUCUCUAGAGAGAAUAAUGAGCCAGUAAUUCUUUUUUUUUAAAGGAAGGUAUAGAAGAUAACACAAAAGAUCAGAUUGUCCAAUCAGUCUGAUAUGAAAUCAGAGGCCUUAUACAGUUACCAAGAUUUUCUAAUAAUUUCAAAGAUACAGAUAAUCACAAGGCACAGAAAAGCAAGGAGAGAGGCUUGGAGUCUUCUGAGAUUGAACUCCCAAGUCUUUUCUUGUCACAUCAGGUCAUGCUCCAUGUUCACAAUAACCCAGGACUCUCUAAGCAAUGUGUACAAUUCAUAUCACUUACAUAAUAGGUAAUCCUAUAAAUUCAUGGAUUCAGAUUUGUUUAGGGUAAGAGUCCUAGAAUCCUAAUAGCAUUCUAGAGAUAAAAACUAAGCUUAUUUUCCAAGGAGUCUGCCAUUAGCAUAUUUACUAGGAGAUAUGACCAGGUCUUGUGCCUUCUUUCUUUUACAGGAGUAGAGCUCCAAUAAAGAGAUUGAAUUGUAGGCUUUCUUCUACUAA